rnacentral:lncRNA from 1 species
CCUGCCUAUUGUUCUAUAUUUCUUACCAUUAAACUAGGAAGAAUAAUAGUGCUAAAUUAAACACCAAGACCAAAGCUCCUAUGGUACCUGGAGAAACUGGAGUGGACUGAGAGGGCAUAUGUGAAGCUAAUUCAUAGUGGAAAAAUAGAAUUUCUGUGUUAUUUUUUAAACUGAGAAUUUAUAUUCUGUUAAUAAUGAAGAUAAAAAAUGUUUUUAAAAAAAUAAAGAUUAAACUUCUUGAAAAAGAAGGCUGAGAUCUUAAAGAUUUUGAAUUUGGACAAGACCAUGGAACCAGUUACACACUUUGAUUCCU